UACGUAGGGUGCGAGCGUUGUCCGGAAUUAUUGGGCGUAAAGGGCUCGUAGGCGGUCUGUCGCGUCGAAAGUGAAAACCCAGGGCUUAACCCUGGGCCUGCUUCCGAUACGGGCAGACUAGAGGUAUGCAGGGGAGAACGGAAUUCCCGGUGUAGCGGUGAAAUGCGCAGAUAUCGGGAGGAACACCGGUGGCGAAGGCGGGUCUCUGGGCAACAACUGACGCUGAGGAGCGAAAGCGUGGGGAGCGAACAGG
rnacentral:rRNA from 1 species